GUUUAGAGUUAGGGUGAGGGAAUUGGGGUUUUCUCUUUGUUUGAUUUUGUUUGGUGCUGCAGAAUUUUUAGAUGGAGAAGACGGAAGGAAACCCUGUAUCUCGUCAUUGGCUGCGGUGACUAGUGUUGGAAAUAGGAAGGCUUAGUUUGCUUCAUAUUUUUUGAGGGCUCUUGACGCAUCUUCCAUCCUUGUUCAAGCUAUGGAAAUAUGCAGUAUUCGAAUUACUCGGUUUCCAAAAGGAGUGGUGGGCAUAACCGAUACCACAUCGGAUCUUCAAACCGGAAUAGUAGUUGGAGAGUUGUGGGCAAUCAAGAGUUUCGUUGGGGGCAAUCAGCAAUAGUAGUUGGGGGCCUCUAUAAGGCUUCUACUGCCGAAAGGACGGAGAGAGCCAGAUGGAUUCCUUCCCAGCACUAAAGAUAGCCAGAUGGAGUCGUUCCCAACAUCGGCAUCGGGGAUAGCCAUAAGUUAUUCCCAGAUCUCUCACGAAGCACCAACAUCAGAGAUAGCCAGAUGGAGUCAUUCCCACCCAAAUGUCUCACAAAGGGAAAGGGACAUUCGGGAUCACGGUCACCCUUCAGUAGGAUCAACUGUUCAUCAUAACAUCUCAAGAGCUGCUGGAUACUAUCCGGAUUGGAUAGCCAAAACUAAACUCUGAAACCUGAUCUGUCGCACAAUUAUAUAUAGUUCGAGUUGGUGGAGUGCCUGCUUCAAGAAUCGGAUCUGCCUAGAUCGAAUAGUUGGAUCCGCUACCACCAUAGAUGCAGAAGUGCCCGGGGAACCAUAGCGGAAAAGACCUAUUUUGUUGGAAAGGCAUCCGAAUAGGAACAGCGGGGCGAAUAGUUAUCCCAAGAGUUGAGUACGCAUGUGUCAGGUCCAUAGCAUCCGAAAGAGAAGUUGUUAGAUCCAAAGAUUUAGCGAAUUUUGGGUGGGAUAUUUCCGUCAUGUAUUUACAUAAAAAGAUAGCCAAGUACCAUAGAAUAGUAGGGCUCGAGUUAGCCCCGUGAAAUUGUCUGGAUUCCUCAAUAUGCAAUAAUGUGAAUCUUUUGACUUGUAAAUAUGUAACUAUUGAUUGUAAUUAUUAUUUAAUAUUUAAUAGUGUUA